AAUUGUUGAAUGUUUUUGCUGAUUGCAUUUAUGUAUAUAACUGGUAGUAAUAUUGUCUCAAAGAUCAUGUUAACGCUAUGUGAAAGCCUCUUAUUGAUUCCAAUAGAUUGUGAUAUGUUUGGUGGGUGAGAAAUUGUUUGCGCUAUUUGAAUGGAAAUGGGGACUAGCUAGUCAUGUUUCCUUGCACUUGAAAUGCACUUUUCACCUUGCAAUCUACAUGAGUUCAGAAACUAGGAUAGAACACACUUUAUCUUGAAUGCACUGAACCCCUGGUUUGUACAAGUUACAUGUAUCAGCUAAGUUGAUCAAAGUUGCACUAUGCAUCUCUAGCACUCUCACUCUUGUCUUUUAUCCUUAUUUCCCCCCUUGUAUUCUUAACUGUUCGUCACCUUAUUAUCACAAAGUCUUAUAUAAUAGACUGCUGUAUGUGUGCUCUCAUCUGAUGCAAGAUAAGCGUUAUAAUCAAUGCAAAUAUGUGCAUUACUUUCACAGUGAUUUUCAUGCUUUAGUUUUCCUUGCCCCUCUCCAAAAUUUGGGCUGCAUAUAAUACUGUCAAUUGCAGGUACUGAUCAAGGCAUUUCAAUGGCACAAAGCGGGGCAGAUGGUGUAUCACUCGGCAUUCCACCUUUACUUACUACACAGAGAAAAUCAGAUGAUGAAUCACUCGGCAUUCCAGCUUUACCUACUACACAGAGAAAAUCAGAUGAUGAAUCACUCGGCAUUCCAGCUUUACCUACUACACAGAGAAAAUCAGAUGGUGGAUCACUUGGCAUUCCAGCUUUACCUAUUACACAGAGAAAACAAGAGGUUCAAGCCAGGCAAACAACCAGUGGAUCAUCAAGCUCGGAUGAUGAUGACCUUGAAGGAGACACAGGAACCAAUGAAAAUAUGGAUCCUGCUGUUGUGAAACGUGCGAGGAGGUAUCUUAUUUAUUAACAUUCAUGCUUGGUGUAAGGGGUUCUAAAUACAAUUUAGAAACUUUGUUUUCUUUACUCAUACGCCUCCCAUUUUUCCUCUUAUUUUGAAUUUAUACAGGUAAUAUUAUUUUGAGGAAUUCACAUGUUAGUGCUCGUCUUAUUGGUGAAUAAAUCAAGCAUUGUUUUAGGAUGGGAGAAGAGUAUUUGUCAAUGGUUUCUAAUUAAAUCGGAUACAGCCUUACUAAACCUGACUUAACUGUCUCCAAGUUUUGGGAUAAACAGAUUCUUACUAGAUGCAAGUAUAUAUCUUAUUAUUGUGUUAAAAAGGAAGGACC
rnacentral:lncRNA from 1 species